rnacentral:misc_RNA from 1 species
GAUGAAGAACGCAGCGAAAUGCGAUACGUAAUGUGAAUUGCAGAAUUCAGUGAAUCAUCGAGUCUUUGAACGCACAUUGCGCCCCCUGGUAUUCCGGGGGGCAUGCCUGUCCGAGCGUCAUUGCUGCCCUCAAGCACGGCUUGUGUGUUGGGCCUCCGUCCUCCUCCCGGGGGACGGGCCCGAAAGGCAGCGGCGGCACCGCGUCCGGUCCUCGAGCGUAUGGGGCUUCGUCACCCGCUCUUGUAGGCCCGGCCGGCGCUUGCCGACACAUCAAUCUUUUUUCCAGGUUGACCUCGGAUCAGGUAGGGAUACCCGCUGAACGUAAGCAUAUCAAUAAGCGGAGGA